GCAGUCAUGGCCUAAUGGUUAGAGAGUCAGACUUGUAACUUGAAGGUUGUGGGUUCGCGUCUCAGGGCCGGCA